rnacentral:misc_RNA from 1 species
CAGAGCUGAAAAGCUACCUUAACCAUCGCUAAUAUACUGUAUCAGUUGCUUCGGCAGGCGCGGCUCCCCAGGCGGGGACCCAUCCCGCCUGCUCAGAGGUAGGGCAGCCUGCCGAUGGUACGAAACUCUUGUUAUAUGUUAACUCUCUGAGUAUAAAACAAAUGAAUUCA